rnacentral:misc_RNA from 1 species
GUUGAAUCAAUGAUAAUGCACAAUUUCCAUUGCUAAACAAAAAUAUCUGAUAUUUAUCCAUUUUCCAAUUGAAGGUCUUAUGAUGACCAACAGAAAAGAGUUUCAUACAAUUAAAAUACAAAGUCAUGAAUAUAUACACUGUAUCAGAGUAACAAAACAUUAAGAUAAACACAAUCAGAGUUACUAAACAGCACAUGAAAGGACAAUUUCAUGCUACAUUUAUUAUUAAUGUAGCAACAGCAUGGAGAACAUUGCAGUUUGACCUGGCAAUCCUACCAGGAAAAUCUCCCGUAACAGAUUCAGCCAGAUGGAUGUCAGUCCGCCGUCCAGCUCUGCUCAACAAUCUCACGCACCUUCCUGUUGUACUCACGCUUGUUCU